rnacentral:rRNA from 1 species
UACGAGGGGGGCAAGCGUUGUUCGGAAUUAUUGGGCGUAAAGGGCGCGUAGGCGGCGUUUUAAGUCGGGGGUGAAAGCCUGUGGCUCAACCACAGAAUGGCCUUCGAUACUGGGACGCUUGAGUAUGGUAGAGGUUGGUGGAACUGCGAGUGUAGAGGUGAAAUUCGUAGAUAUUCGCAAGAACACCGGUGGCGAAGGCGGCCAACUGGACCAUUACUGACGCUGAGGCGCGAAAGCGUGGGGAGCAAACAGG